rnacentral:rRNA from 1 species
UACGGGGGGGGUAAGCGUUGUUCGGAAUUACUGGGCGUAAAGGGCUCGUAGGCGGCCAACUAAGUCAGACGUGAAAUCCCUCAGCUUAACUGGGGAACUGCGUCUGAUACUGGAUGGCUUGGAUUCGGGAGAGGAGAGUGGAAUUCCUGGUGUAGCGGUGAAAUGCGCAGAUAUCAGGAGGAACACCGGUGGCGAAGGCGGGACUCUGGGCCGAUACUGACGCUGAGGAGCGAAAGCGUGGGGAGCAAACAGG